rnacentral:rRNA from 1 species
GACGAACGCUGGCGGCGUGCUUAACACAUGCAAGUCGAGCGGUAAGGCCCUUUCGGGGGUACACGAGCGGCGAACGGGUGAGUAACACGUGGGUGACCUGCCCUUAGCUCUGGGAUAAGCCUGGGAAACUGGGUCUAAUACCGGAUAUGACUCCAUGACGCAUGUUGUGGGGUGGAAAGCCUUGUGCGGCUAGGGAUGGGCCCACGGCCUAUCAGCUUGUUGGUGGGGUGAUGGCCUACCAAGGCGACGACGGGUAGCCGGCCUGA